rnacentral:rRNA from 1 species
GACGAACGCUGGCGGCGUGCCUAAUACAUGCAAGUAGGACGCAGUUGCGAACGGGGGAGUAACGCGUAGGUAACUACCUAUUAGAGGGGGACAACUAUUGGAAACGAUAGCUAAUACCGCAUACUAGAAGAUGGACCUGCGUUGUAUUAGCUGGUAGGUAGGGUAAUGGCCUACCUAGGCAACGAUACAUAGCCGACCUGAACGGGGGGUGGGCCAAACUGGGACGUGGACACGGCCCAGACGCCUACGGGAGGCAGCAGUAGGGAACCUUCGGCAAGGUGGGGAACCCUGACCGAGCAACGCCGCGUGAGUGAAGAAGGUUUUCGGAUCUUAAAGCUCUGUUGUUAAGGACGCGGUACUUAACCAGAAAGUGACGGCUAACUACGUGCGAGCAGCCGCGGUAAUAC